UGGGGAAUUUUGGACAAUGGGGGCAACCCUGAUCCAGCAAUGCCGCGUGAGUGAAGAAGGCCUUCGGGUUGUAAAGCUCUUUUGUCAGGGAAGAAACGGUGAGUGCUAAUAUCAUUCGCUAAUGACGGUACCUGAAGAAUAAGCACCGGCUAACUACGUGCCAGCAGCCGCGGUAAUACGUAGGGUGCAAGCGUUAAUCGGAAUUACUGGGCGUAAAGCGUGCGCAGGCGGUUAUGCAAGACAGAUGUGAAAUACCUGGGCUCAACCUGGGAAUGGCAUUUGUGACUGCAUAGCUAGAGUGUGUCAGAGGGGGGUAGAAUUCCACGUGUAGCAGUGAAAUGCGUAGAGAUGUGGAGGAAUACCGAUGGCGAAGGCAGCCCCCUGGGAUAACACUGACGCUCAUGCACGAAAGCGUGGGGAGCAAACAGG
rnacentral:rRNA from 1 species